ensembl:lncRNA
CUCCCACCCCCAUGGGACAUGUACUAAAGAGGAAGAAACUUGCUCUGGUAUUUUGGGCAUUUCGGUAGAGGCUGACACUGCCUACCUGACCAGCUUACCAACCAGCAGCACACAGAACAUGACUUCAGUGCUGCCGGUGACAGGAGCACAGGCAGAAGAGUUUCUGCUGACUGCCUUGGUGGUUUCAAAAUGAGCCUGCAAAAUUUAUUAGAUGUAGCCAUCUGCUUCUCAGUCAUUCUCCUACACUACCCCUGACAGUGACUGACAAGAGAGAAACAAUGAAUUUACAGCAGUGGGUGAGAAUCAAUUACUUUUCUGUUCCCUGCUCCAGAGCUGCUAUAGUUCUUAUGGUAGAAAUGGAGCAUCUGCUAACGAAUUUUGUCUGGACAUUCAAGGGGUAGGCUAAGCACUCAUGGUCAUUGCAAAAGUGAAUGAAGAAGAAUCUGCAAAAAAGUUGUGGUUUGCAGUUGUUUUUUUUUUUUUUACAAUGGAGAGGAAGCUUCCCCAAUAACAGCCCAGUGGCUUUUGGUUGGUUGGUUGGUUGAAACACCCCUUUCAAAGUCCAUCUUAAUUCUUAACACGACAUACCCAUUGAUUUUAAAAGGUUUUGAAUAUGGAUGUGAAUAUAUGUUCAUCAAGUAAGGAGUCUUUGUUAGCUGAUUCCGGUCUUCAAAAUAUGUUCUACGGUUGGUAGGGGUUUUUUUUUUUGGUAGCAGUUACGUAAUUUUCAUGACAAAGUGACUUUUGGUUGCGAAUGCUCCUUUUGAAUACUUUUCUUCCACUACUAAUGAAAACUUAAAACAUCAUUCUUUUUCCCCCAAUAUUUAUGUGAUAUGAAAGUCAAAUCUAUUGCAUGUUGCCAGAAAGAGAGAAGAAAUUGCUUUGAUUCACCUAUAUUUCAAGUGAUCCUUUUUUUUUUCUUUUGCUUCUUCCAUUCCAAAUAUAAAAAAGAAACUAUUAUGUCCCAAACCUUGGCUACUUCUCAAACUACGUCAGCUGAUCUGACAAAGAAUAGGACUUUGACCUGCAAACUUGGUGUGAAAAAGUGGGAACCUUGCUGAAGGUGAUCAGUGAUUUAAGGCAGCAGCAUAGCUAAUUUAUUUCAGCUAGUUUAAGAGAUGAAAGAAACAGAGGAAAAAAAUUGCUAUCAUUUCUUGCCUGUAACCUGCGGUUUAUUCUGUGCAUAUUCGUGGUAGAUAUUUGUGGAAGAAGCCAUUCACAAGUAAAGAGAAGUGCCAGGGAAAGGAGCUUUCAGACCGGCUGCUGUGGGAGGCUGCACUCUAGGAGAGAAGUAAUUUGCCCCUCCAAACUUCGAUGUAACAAAUGCAG